rnacentral:rRNA from 1 species
GGCUUAGAAGCAGCCAUUCAUUUAAAGAGUGCGUAACAGCUCACUAGUCAAGAGAUCUUGCGUGGAAAAUGUAACGGGGCUAAAACGUUAUACCGAAGAUAUGGAUGUCAGAUUUAUCUGGCGUGGUAGAGGAGCGUUCCUAUCAGCGGUGAAGUCGAAUCGGAAGGUUCGGUGGAGCGGUAGGAAGUGAGAAUGCUGGAAUGAGUAACCAUAAGAGAGGUGAGAAUCCUCUCGGCCGUAAGAGCAAGGUUUCCUGAGCCAUGGUAAUCAUCUCAGGGUUAGUCGGGCCUAAGCCGAGGCGCAGAGCGUAGGCGAUGGACAUCAGGUUAAUAUUCCUGAACCGGUUAAGUUUUGUACACUGUUCACGGGGAAGUAAUCGAAGCGGAUUCAUGGUUUAUCCGUCCAACCGAGCGGGAACGCAAAGGGAGUGAAAGUGAUUCUUCGGAGUCGCGAUUUUGGUGAAAGCCCUGGCUAGAAAAGCAGGUGUACGCGUGGACUUAGCCGCCCGUACCGCAAACCAACACAGGUGCUCGAGUCGAGUAGACUCAGGCUUACGAGCGAACCUUCGCUAAGGAACUCGGCAAUACAGCGACCGUAACUUCGGGAUAAGGUCUGCCCCCACUUCGGUGGAUAUCAGCCGCGUUCACUCAGUGAAUAAUAGGUUAAAGAGUACAUUUUUAAUCACAAAACGAAUUUUCUGAGACACGAGCAAACGAAUUGUUCUUUGAACGCGAAUCUCUGACAUCUAACGAUGUGGGGGCCGCAGCAAAAGAGCCCACGGAACUGUUUAUCAAAAACACAGGUCUCUGCUAACACGAAAGUGGAUGUAUAGGGGCUGACUCCUGCCCAAUGCUGGAAGGUUAAGGGGAGCGCUUCACGGUGCGAACUGAAGCCCUAGUCAAUGGCGGCGGUAACUAUAACCGUCCUAAGGUAGCGAAAUUCCUUGUCAGGUAAGUUCUGACCCGCACGAAUGGAGUAAUCAUGUGGGCACUGUCUCAGCGAAGGACUCGGUGAAAGUGCAUUGGCGGUAAAGAUGCCGUCUGUCCGUACCAGGACGAAAAGACCCCAUGGAGCUUUACUACAGCUUUACAUUGAAUACGGUUUCAACAUGUGUAGCAUAGGUGGGAGACGUUGAAGCAGAUACGCCAGUAUUUGUGGAGUCACCAAGUGAAAUACCACCCUUGUUGUGAUUGUGUUCUCACGCUGACCGUUAUCCGGUUAGCGGACCGUGUAUGGUGGGUAGUUUAACUGGGGCGGUUGCCUCCUAAAGAGUAGCGGAGGCGUUCAAAGGU